UUAGUCAGAUACAUGUAUGAUCAUUACAUUGCUAUAUAAAAGACGCUGCAGUUGGCACAAUUUUUCAAUUUACAAGAUAUCCAGGUGGUUAAUCGUUAAGUUGUGACGUCUAUUUAUAGAAUCUCAGUCACAGCAGGAUGAGCGAAAAACAAGAUGUCAAUGAAAAAGUGCUACUGGAGCCCUACAGCUACAUAUGCCAGAUUCCAGGGAAGAAAGUCAGGACCAAGCUAUCAGCAGCUUUUAACUGUUGGCUUCAAAUACCUGAGGAGAAGUUAAAACUGAUAGGGGAGGUUACUCAGAUGCUGCAUAAUGCAAGUUUAUUGUAGAAUUGAUGACAUUGAGGAUAAUUCAAAUUUAAGAAGAGGCAUACCAGUUGCUCACAAUAUAUAUGGAGUGCCACAGACUAUAAAUUCUGCCAAUUAUGUUUACUUCCUGGGUUUAGAAAAAGUUCUUCAGCUGGACCAUCCAGAGAGCACAAAAGUUUUUACAGCUCAGCUAUUGGAACUGCAUCGUGGGCAAGGUAUGGACAUCUACUGGAGAGAUGCAGUGGUGUGUCCCACAGAGGAGGAGUACAAGGCCAUGGUUAUAAAAAAAACUGGAGGACUAUUUGGUUUAGCUGUUGGAUUAAUGCAACUCUUUAGUGACUGUAAAAAAGAUUUUGUUCCACUAUUAAAUGCUCUAGGCUUGUAUUUCCAAAUACGAGAUGAUUAUGCUAAUCUGUACUCUAAAGAGUAUGAAGCCAACAAGAGUUACUGCGAGGACCUGACAGAGGGCAAGUUUUCCUUCCCCAUCAUCCACGCCAUCAGAAGCAGUAAGGAUGACACACAGGUCAUAAAUAUAUUGAGACAGCGAACUACAGACAAUGAUGUCAAGAAGUACUGUGUAGAGUGUCUACAUCGACUAGGCUCUUUUGAAUACACUAAAGAAAUCUUAAUACAAUUGGAAAACAGCAUUUUUGAGCUGAUAGAAGAACAUGGGGGUAAUCCUAUACUGACAGCAUUAAUUAAUGAACUGAAGAAAGUAUACAGAGGAUCUCAAUGACAAAGAAUAUGGUCCUGUUAUAGAAUCAUAGACACAAUCUCCUCUAGUCCACUGCCAUUUGUAUUUCAAAAAUACACCAUUAUUUAUCUUUUUCACUAUUGUAGCCUAUGUUAAAUUAAUGAUAAAUAAAAUGCAAAAUAC
rnacentral:misc_RNA from 1 species